GUAACGGCUCACCAAGGCGACGAUCCCUAGCUGGUCUGAGAGGAUGACCAGCCACACUGGAACUGAGACACGGUCCAGACUCCUACGGGAGGCAGCAGUGGGGAAUAUUGCACAAUGGGCGCAAGCCUGAUGCAGCCAUGCCGCGUGUAUGAAGAAGGCCUUCGGGUUGUAAAGUACUUUCAGCGGGGAGGAAGGGAGUAAAGUUAAUACCUUUGCUCAUUGACGUUACCCGCAGAAGAAGCACCGGCUAACUCCGUGCCAGCAGCCGCGGUAAUACGGAGGGUGCAAGCGUUAAUCGGAAUUACUGGGCGUAAAGCGCACGCAGGCGGUUUGUUAAGUCAGAUGUGAAAUCCCCGGGCUCAACCUGGGAACUGCAUCUGAUACUGGCAAGCUUGAGUCUCGUAGAGGGGGGUAGAAUUCCAGGUGUAGCGGUGAAAUGCGUAGAGAUCUGGAGGAAUACCGGUGGCGAAGGCGGCCCCCUGGACGAAGACUGACGCU
rnacentral:rRNA from 1 species